rnacentral:rRNA from 1 species
UACGAAGGGGGCUAGCGUUGCUCGGAAUCACUGGGCGUAAAGCGCACGUAGGCGGCUUCUUAAGUCAGGGGUGAAAUCCUGGAGCUCAACUCCAGAACUGCCCUUGAUACUGAGGAGCUCGAGUCCGGAAGAGGUGAGUGGAACUGCGAGUGUAGAGGUGAAAUUCGUAGAUAUAUGGAAGAACAUCAAUAACGGCGAAGGCAGUUAACUAUUCUGUUACUGACGUUGAGGCACGAAAGCGUGGGGAGCAAAACGG